rnacentral:rRNA from 1 species
GACAGAGGGUGCAAACGUUGUUCGGAAUUACUGGGCGUAAAGCGCGUGUAGGCGGCAAGGCAAGUCGGAUGUGAAAGCCCCGCGGCUCAACCGUGGAAGUGCACUCGAAACUGCCUAGCUAGAGUCUCGGAGAGGAAGGUGGAAUGCUUGGUGUAGAGGUGAAAUUCGUAGAUAUCAAGCAGAACACCUGUGGCGAAGGCGGCCUUCUGGACGAUGACUGACGCUGAGACGCGAAAGCGUGGGGAGCGAACAGG